ACGAACGCUGGCGGCGUGCCUAACACAUGCAAGUCGAGCGGGGAUUGUGGAGAGCUUGCUCAAAGCAAUUCUAGCGGCGGACGGGUGAGUAACGCGUGAGCAACCUGCCUAUCACUGGGGAAUAACGCAUCGAAAGGUGUGCUAAUACCGCAUGAGACCACAGGACCGCAUGGUCAAGGGGUCAAAGAUUUAUCGGUGAUAGAUGGGCUCGCGUCUGAUUAGCUAGUUGGUGAGGUAACGGCCCACCAAGGCGACGAUCAGUAGCCGACCUGAGAGGGUGAUCGGCCACAUUGGAACUGAGAAACGGUCCAAACUCCUACGGGAGGCAGCAGUGGGGAAUAUUGGGCAAUGGGCGCAAGCCUGACCCAGCAACGCCGCGUGAAGGAAGAAGGUCUUCGGGUCGUAAACUUCUAUCCUUGGUGAAGAUAAUGACGGUAGCCAAGAAGGAAGCCCCGGCUAACUACGUG
rnacentral:rRNA from 1 species